rnacentral:misc_RNA from 1 species
UCUCCGUAGGUGAACCUGCGGAGGGAUCAUUACUGAGUGAGGGCUCACGCCCGACCUCCAACCCUUUGUGAACACAUCUUGUUGCUUCGGGGGCGACCCUGCCGUUCGGCGCGGCGCCCCCGGAGGCUCAUCAAACACUGCAUCUUUGCGUCGGAGUCUUAAUGAAUUUAAACAAAACUUUUAACAACGGAUCUCUUGGUUCUGGCAUCGAUGAAGAACGCAGC